GCAUCUAGGAAACAGCGGAAUCUACUGCACUUCCUCCGGCCGCACCCAACCGAGAAUCAACUCGUUCGAUUCGUACUGCACACACGUCCAGUUAACGAGCAGAGAUCGUUAAAAAGAAUGGAAAGCAAACACGUGGAUAACAUAGAUACUACAUCGAUGACAAGAUUACACGACUUCUUAACGAUUUAAUCGAAUUAACAUAGUUAACCGUAUACUUUAUAUCUAAACGCUAUUAUUUUCUGAUUGUUCGCAAUGGUACGUGAUUUCUACUUAUCUUUCCUUCGAUCAGUGUACGUAAUCGAUAAAAUAACUAACCAAUUGUGAUCUGCGCGCCCAUUCGUCGUUUAUUUCACGAACACGCAACAGGUUUGUGUUCUUUCUCAUUACGUUUGUCCGUUUUCUUUUAUUAUACACACGAUUAAAAAGAGUUUAUAGUACAUCCUUAAUAACUAGAAGCAAAGAUAUACUUAACUUACUUAUUGAACUCUUCUAUUUCGACAUUUACAAAAUCGCGAUACAGGAAGUUAUCAAAGGGAUAAAAAUAUUCAUAAUUAAUUUAGAGCUUAAUUAACUUUAACGCGUCAUUAAAUCAACUAAACUGAGAGUAAGUAAUUGCAAAAUCUACUUUCACUUUUCUGUGAAUCAGUAACGAUUGAAGCCGCUCGCGAGGAAAGAAAAGGAUGAAACAGCAAUGUAAAUUCUAUAUUGAAUUUAAGUUGAGAUAUUAAGUCUACUGUAAGAAGUUCUCUAUCAUAAAAAGAUUGCUAAACUACGAGUUUUCAUAGUUGAAACUUACCGAACGUGGUCGUAGCAAAAGUGAAAGCCGCUCUGCACACAACAGUUUAGAGAGACGUUUCCUCUACCUGCACACAUUUAACGACCUUGCCACUGCCAAGCGUCCCCACCCUGAAGACCAAGAGCAACCUCGAGGCCUGCAGAAACGGAAGCCGACAGAAUUGGAAAACGUGCAAUCCUGGAUUUCGCCACUGGCGUUGGACAUAGGUUUCGUAAAUAAAAAACGUUUGUGCUGAGAAAAAAUAAUAGAUAAUGAACAAGAAACUGCAUAAUUUAUGUAAAGACAAACAAGAACAGUAUUGGUAGACGUAAGAAAUUGUAUUUGUACAAACUGUACAAAAAAAUCAGGUAUCGUCGUAGAAAUACAGUAUCGAAGAAUAAGAAAAUGUAAUAAAAUAUAAUAUGCUUAUAAUCGAAA